rnacentral:rRNA from 1 species
UACGAAGGGGGCUAGCGUUGUUCGGAUUUACUGGGCGUAAAGCGCACGUAGGCGGACUAUUAAGUCAGGGGUGAAAUCCCGGGGCUCAACCCCGGAACUGCCUUUGAUACUGGUAGUCUUGAGUUCGAGAGAGGUGAGUGGAAUUCCGAGUGUAGAGGUGAAAUUCGUAGAUAUUCGGAGGAACACCGGUGGCGAAGGCGGCUCUCUGGACCGAUACUGACGCUGAGGCGCGAAAGCGUGGGGAGCAAACAGG